rnacentral:rRNA from 1 species
CAGUAGCCACGGUAAUACAGAGGGUGCGAGCGUUAAUCGGAUUUACUGGGCGUAAAGCGCGCGUAGGUGGUUCAUUAAGUUGGAUGUGGAAGCCCUGGGCUCAACCUGGGAACUGCAUCCAAAACUGGUGAGCUAGAGUACGGUAGAGGGUAGUGGAAUUUCCUGUGUAGCGGUGAAAUGCGUAGAUAUAGGAAGGAACACCAGUGGCGAAGGCGACUACCUGGACUGAUACUGACACUGAGGUGCGAAAGCGUGGGGAGCAAACAGGAUUAGAUACCCCCGUAGUCCCUGUCUCUUAUAC